GUCAUGUUUUAUUAUAUUUUAACAGUAAUUAUGAACUGGUAAAAUCCACCAAUGGAGGCCCUUGCAGUUAGCAAAGUUUUAUUUUAAGUUUUAGGGUUCUAGAGAAACAUGGAGGUCUAAACUGAAAAGGGAAAAACAAAAAUGCUGUUAGGUUAAGGUUGAUAAUAUUGGUAAGUACUGAAAUGAUCAGCUGUGCACAUAUUUUCUUCAUUCCUCUCACUCUUGAUCAUAGUUCCUACAUUCUGUGCUAUUUUGCAUUUUGGGGGAUGUAGUUUGUGUCUGUUGUGAGCAUCCUCUGCCCUGAGAGUCAGUCCAUCUUGUUAAAUAAUACAUCAACAUGUGAGAUGCAACUUCAUCCGACUUGGAAUAUAUCAGCCAACAAUUACUGCACUCCAACUUGUCCUUUGCAACAUGAAUAUUGCACACAUUGAUAGUGCUUUGAUGACAUAAUUAUGAUAAACUGUGCUGCCUUAGUUGAAAUUAUAUCGGUGAAAAUCAAAAAAGCUAAGUCUAAGGUGAAACCAGUAAAUUUGUACUCAAAAUAAGCAACACGUUUGAAGGUGGUGAGUCACUCACAGCGUGUGGUUCAUCGAUACAAUCUGAGAUGUUUCACACACUGCGGUAUAUUUGAGCAAAACGAGGCCAAAGAAUAUAAAGGUCCCAUACACUUUUUCUUAUAAAUUUGUGUAUUUAGAAAAUUUUACAGCAGUUAUUUAAGUUUCUAAUAUAGAUGGGUGGAUGUUGGGAUGGAAAAUAAAUGUUUAGAUAAAGGAUUACAUGGGCAUGAAUUGAUGGAAGGAUGGAAAAUAAAUGGGUGGAUUAGUUUUUCCAGAUCUAGAAAAUGGUGUAAUCAAAUCCUUAACUUUUCCAGACUGCACAAGAACCAUGGAAAUGAACGUCUACCUUUUUUUCUACAAGUACUACUUCAAUAAUGAGAAUAUGAUCCCAUUUUAAAAUUAAAACCCAUUUACAAGCCCCCCCAAAAGAGCUACAACUGUAGUUAUAAUUAUUAAAUAAUGCAUUACAAAUAAGUUAUGAAUCUUUUACGUCCGCGUGUUUCUUUACAGACUAGUUAUUUCAAGUUUUGGUUAAUUUAUAACGAAACAUCAUGAAAGCAUCAACCUAAAAUGUGUCCAGCUUACCCAUUGCAGAUGGUGGAUUCAUUUUGUUUUUGUCUUAUGUUGGGACAGAACUUUAGUUGCCUUUAAUUGUGUCUUUCACCUGAUAGUGACAGAUUGUGAAGCUGUUCCAACGCAACAUGGAAACUAUUUUGUAAAUCACCCAAAGAUUGAGCUCGAGCGAAACUUGACCGAAAAUUGAGGCUUUAAAUCUCAAUAUGUUGGCACCAGAAACCGACCUGAAUUGCCGUCUUUCUGAGUUGAUGAUAACGUCCAGCUCCAGACUCCGAAGCGGUUGCAGCUACCGUUAGUUAGCUAAGUUGGGCUAAAACUUUCCCCAUUGUCCCCCCGUCAACUCGGCUCGUUUACCUGCUUUUGUUCCGCGCUGAGGCUCCACAUUUCCACUGUCAGCGAAGACGAGACGUCCAUCUUGUUUUUGUAUUUCCUCGAGACCCGACAAAAAGCGGGGCGAACCGGAGGAAAACGGCAAAGCCAGUGAAUAUGGAAAGAGUUUGGGAUGGUAUGAGAUUUAUCUCGGGCGGCCAGCUGUGGCUGCAAUGGCGUCCUCCUCCUCCUCUCCACUCCGCCGCCUCCCACCCUGAGCUCCAGCUCUCUCUCCGAGCUGCCACCCUCUCUCUGUGUGGGUGGUCGUCGAGGAAAAUUGCUCCGUUUUCGCUUCGCCAUUGAAGCUGUGCCGUUAUAACCCUGUUUUAAACGAAUUUGUUUCAUUCAAAUACGUCUUAUCGUUGUUAUGCUUUGUGUAUUAAACGAAUGAAAAGUG